UUUGGAGCAAUUUUUAGAAAUAAAGCAGGAAUUUCAAGGAAUUUGUUAUUUUGUGAUAUGUUAUCCAUAUGUGACCCAGUGAGUAAAUUCAUAAGUAAAACUAUCCCUCUAUAAAUUCAUAAUUGGGGUAUAUAUUAACUUGAUAUUCUAUAAAUUGAGAAUCUUAGCAGUUACCAAUACUUAACCAAAUGCACAUUAAACUUCCAUUGGAGGUUAACCAAAUACACCCUCAAAGUAGAAUAUUAAGAACCAUGAUGCAAUCUUAGAGCAUAAAUAAAUAAGACAUGAUGAUUAUGAAGAAUAUAAAACUUGAAAGCUAAAAGAUAAUGGUAUAGAGGUUUAAAUAUAAAUAGGCAGAGUAAACAUUUAAAUAGCCAGCUAAAAACUGUCUAGUAAUGAAAACUGAUAAUGUAGUUAAAAAGAUAAUUGAUGCCAAUUAAUCAUAACAAAACUCAUUAUAUUGGGUGUUUUUCUAAUGGUUGAUCUAGGUUACCUAAAACGUGGAUCAUUUCACCUACUAUGACAAGCAGUACCAACAGGGGUAGGCUUAUAGGAAUAUUUUGACAAAACUAUUCUUAUAUCAUCUAUAUUAAAAUCACCAAGCAGGUAAAAUUGUGAUUAUUUAUUUCUAUUUGCAAAUUG
rnacentral:lncRNA from 1 species